UACAGAGGGUGCAAGCGUUGUUCGGAAUUAUUGGGCGUAAAGCGCGUGUAGGCGGCUUUGCAAGUCGGGUGUGAAAUCCCUCAGCUUAACUGAGGAAGUGCGCCCGAAACUGCCGAGCUUGAGUGCCGGAGAGGAUGGCGGAAUUCCCCAAGUAGAGGUGAAAUUCGUAGAUAUGGGGAGGAACACCGGUGGCGAAGGCGGCCAUCUGGACGGUGACUGACGCUGAGACGCGAAAGCGUGGGGAGCAAACAGG
rnacentral:rRNA from 1 species